AUGCUAGCCGCAAGUUACUGCCCGCGGAAACCAGGUGUUAUGAAAAACAGACCCCGGACUCUGGACGGCGGGAUGUGCAGGCCCAGCAGGAAAGCACAGCUGCAGCUGGCUGGUGACGUCAGCUCCAGACACCGACCAGUGAAGAUAAAAAUGGCGGUGGCUGCAGUGGAAGGGACAGAUGGCCCCGGAGUGGGGGAUCUGUCAACGGCGGAGGAGGAGUAUGAGGCCCUGCGACGUCUGGGGAAGAACGGGGAACCGGAACAAGGGGAGCCAGGGAGAGGGAGCCAGGAGCAGCUCCCGGGAGCUGGUGGCACAGGAGAGGUGCCCGAACAGGACGGCGGCGAGUACGAGCCAUCGCAGAGGGCUCGCCAGAACCAGUGCCAAUUUGGAGGGAAACUCACUUGCAGAACACUGAAGGAAGAAUCGCAAGCGUAG
rnacentral:lncRNA from 1 species